rnacentral:rRNA from 1 species
CUUGGAAGAAUGUAUAGUGAUUGCUAAUUGUUUCAUUCCACAGAAAAAUGAAGCAGUCUCGAUUUGAUCGAAUAAAAUUCUGGGUAAAAUUAUGAUAAUGACAUUAUUUACUCAUGAGUCUUGACCAAAUUACGUGCCAGCAGUCGCGGUAAUACGUAGAAGACGAGUGUUAUUCAUCUUUAAUAGGUUUAAAGGGUACCUAGACGGCAUAUUAAGCCUUAGUUGGGACUGGUUUGCUAGAGUUACUUAUGAGGAAGUUUUAAUGUACUAGAGGUGAAGAGAUGAAAUUCUGUCAUACCUUUUUUCUAACGAAAAAUUUCGGCACAGGUAUAGGUGAAAACAUCUUCUUAUGGGAUAACUGACGUUGAGGGACGAAGGCUUUUUAUCGCGAACAGGAUUAGAUACCCUGGUAGUCAAAGCAGAAAAUGAUGAGUGUCAUAGAUUAGAUAUAGUUUAUUCUAUAAAUGAAAGUGUAAGCACUCCACCUCAAGAGUAAUUUGGCAACAUUGGAACUGAAAUCAUUAGACCGUGUCUGAAACCAGUAGUGAAGUAUGUUAUUUAAUUUGAUAAUCCGCAAAAAACCUUACCACAACUUGAAUGUUUAUUUACUUACUUUUAUUACAUGUAUUGUGAGCAACCUUAUAUAUAAUCUAAGUUGCUCUUUAAGCAGUCGUGUUAAUAGAUUAAAUUAGAUAGGUACAAGUGUUGCACGGCUGUCUUCAGUUAAUGUCGUCAGACUAUGGUUAGCUCCAGUAAAUUAACGUAAACCCUUGCUCUAGUUUUAAGUAGAGUAGUUC